rnacentral:rRNA from 1 species
AUUGAACGCUGGCGGCAGGCCUAACACAUGCAAGUCGAGCGGGGUUUUCGGACCUAGCGGCGGACGGGUGAGUAAUGCGUAGGAAGCUACCCGAUAGAGGGGGAUACCAGUUGGAAACGACUGUUAAUACCGCAUAAUGUCUACGGACCAAAGUGUGGGACCUUCGGGCCACAUGCUAUCGGAUGCGCCUACGUGGGAUUAGCUAGUUGGUGGGGUAAUGGCUCACCAAGGCGACGAUCCCUAGCUGGUUUGAGAGGAUGAUCAGCCACACUGGAACUGAGACACGGUCCAGACUCCUACGGGAGGCAGCAGUGGGGAAUAUUGGAAAAUGGGCGCAAGCCUGAUCCAGCCAUGCCGCGUGUGUGAAGAAGGCCUUCGGGUUGUAAAGCACUUUCAGUAGGGAGGAAGCGUUGUGUGUUAAUAGUACACAGCGUUGACGUUACCUACAGAAGAAGCACCGGCUAACUCUGUGCCAGCAGCCGCCGUAACAC